AACUUGUGCUAAUACCGGAUAAGUCUUUACGGAGAAAGCUUUAUGCACCAUUGGAUGAGCCUGCACUUGAUUAGUUUGUUGGUAGGGUAAUGGCCUACCAAGACUGUGAUCAAUAGCUGAUUUGAGAGGAUGAUCAGCCACAUUGGGACUGAGACACGGCCCAAACUCCUACGGGAGGCAGCAGUGGGGAAUCUUGCACAAUGGAGGAAACUCUGAUGCAGCGAUGCCGCGUGAGUGAAGAAGGCCCUUGGGUUGUAAAGCUCUUUCGUCGGGGAA
rnacentral:rRNA from 1 species